rnacentral:tRNA from 1 species
GCAGUGAUGGUUCAGUGGUAAAAUUCUCACUUUCCAUGCAGGAGACCCGGGUUCAAUUCCUGAUCAAUGCC